rnacentral:rRNA from 1 species
CGGGACCCGCACAGCGGUGGAUGAUGUGUUUAUCGAUGCAACGCGAAAACCUACCCACCUUUGACAUGGCAGAACUUACCAGAGAUGGUUUGGUGCUCGAAAGAGAACUGCACACAGGUGCUGCAUGGCUGUCGUCAGCUCGUGUCGUGAGAUGUUGGGUUAAGUCCCGCAACGAGCGCAACCCUUGCCAUUAGUUGCUACAUUCAGUUGAGCACUCUAAUGGGACUGCCGGUGACAAACCGGAGGAAGGUGGGGAUGACGUCAAGUCCUCAUGGCCCUAUAGGUGGGGCUACACACGUCAUACAAUGGCUGGUACAAAGGGUUGCCAACCCGCGAGGGGGAGCUAAUCCCAUAAAGCCAGUCGUAGUCCGGAUCGCAGUCUGCAACUCGACUGCGUGAAGUCGGAAUCGCUAGUAAUCGUGGAUCAGAAUGUCACGGUGAAUACGUUCCCGGGUCUUGUACACACCGCCCGUCACACCAUGGGAGCGGGUCUCGCCAGAAGUAGGUAGCCUAACCGCAAGGAGGGCGCUUACCACGGCGGGGUUCGUGACUGGGGUGAAGUCGUAACAAGGUAACCUA